UUCUCUGACCGUCUCCACCCAGUGAUGUCACAGUCCCUGCUGACGUCAUGGACACAGCCCUGGGCCAGAGGCAGGGUACAUCUGGAGGAGUGGCAGCAGAUUCCCUCCUGGAGGUGGCCCCACCACACCUGCAGGCUCUGCCGUGGCAGCCACCUGAGAAGCGCAGGGCUCCAGGGUGAUCCUGGCCACAGCCCCCUCAAGCACCUCUGGACACACACGUCCCCCUCCUCAGGAGUCACCCAGGUCCUGGGCCCCAGCAGCUACGAGUAUCCCAAGUUCCAGGUGGUGCCAUCCACGCACCACUCCCCGAAAGGGGCCCGGGCUCUGGAGAUGCGCCAGCCACAACCUGGAAGCCUGAGGUCACUGACAGGAGAGCCGACAACUGGAAGAGCCUGGGGUGCCUGGGGCAGAGAGGACGGGGGAAGCGCGGACCCUGGCUGAGGAUGACACACCGGCACCGGUCCAUCAGCUGCGACAUGGAUGACAGUGAACUGAGGUGUGACCCACAGGGACCCCAAACUGAUCCACAGACUCGCCAUAAACCUAACACUGCUCUGAAA